rnacentral:rRNA from 1 species
AGUGAACGCUAGUGGCGUGCUUAACACAUGCAAGUCGAACGGACGAUAUUUGUGCUUGCACAAAUAAAGUUAGUGGCAAACGGGUGAGUAAUACAUGAGAAUUUUCCUUGCAGUACGGAAUAACUAUUGGAAACAGUAGCUAAUACCGUAUAUUGCCGAGAGGUGAAAGAUUUAUCGCUGCAAGAUAAGCCCAUGCAAGAUUAGCUUGUUGGUAAGGUAAUGGCUUACCAAGGCUACGAUCUUUAGCUGGUUUGAGAGGAUGAUCAGCCACACUGGAACUUAGACACGGUCCAGACUCCUACGGGAGGCAGCAGUGGGGAAUAUUGCACAAUGGGCGAAAGCCUGAUGCAGCAAUGCCGCGUGGAGGAUGACGCAUCUAGGUGUGUAAACUCCUUUUAUAUGAGAAGAUAAUGACGGUAUCAUAUGAAUAAGCACCGGCUAACUCCGUGCCAGCAGCCGCCGUAACAC